rnacentral:rRNA from 1 species
GAUGAACGCUGGCGGCGCGCCUAACACAUGCAAGUCGAACGGCACCCCUCCUCGGAGGGAAGCGAGUGGCGAACGGCUGAGUAACACGUGGAGAACCUGCCCCCUCCCCCGGGAUAGCCGCCCGAAAGGACGGGUAAUACCGGAUACCCCGGGGUGCCGCAUGGCACCCCGGCUAAAGCCCCGACGGGAGGGGAUGGCUCCGCGGCCCAUCAGGUAGACGGCGGGGUGACGGCCCACCGUGCCGACAACGGGUGGCCGGGUUGGGAGACCGACCGGCCAGGUUGGGACUGAGACACGGCCCAGACUCCUACGGGAGGCAGCAGUGGGGAAUCUUGCGCAAUGGGGGGAACCCGGACGCAGCGACGCCGCGUGCGGGACGGAGGCCUUCGGGACGUAAACCGCUUUCAGCAGGGAAGAGUCAAGACUGUACCUGCAGAAGAAGCCCCGGCUAACUACGUG